rnacentral:rRNA from 1 species
GCAAGGUUAACCGAAUAGGGGAGCCGGAGGGAAACCGAGUCUUAAUUGGGCGUUAAGUUGCAGGGUAUAGACCCGAAACCCGGUGAUCUAGCCAUGGGCAGGUUGAAGGUUGGGUAACACUAACUGGAGGACCGAACCGACUAAUGUUGAAAAAUUAGCGGAUGACCUGUGGCUGGGGGUGAAAGGCCAAUCAAACCGGGAGAUAGCUGGUUCUCCCCGAAAGCUAUUUAGGUAGCGCCUCGUGAAUUCAUCUCCGGGGGUAGAGCACUGUUUCGGCUAGGGGGCCAUCCCGGCUUACCAACCCGAUGCAAACUGCGAAUACCGGAGAAUGUUAUCACGGGAGACACACGGCGGGUGCUAACGUCCGUCGUGAAGAGGGAAACAACCCAGACCGCCAGCUAAGGUCCCAAAGUCAUGGUUAAGUGGGAAACGAUGUGGGAAGGCCCAGACAGCCAGGAUGUUGGCUUAGAAGCAGCCAUCAUUUAAAGAAAGCGUAAUAGCUCACUGGUCGAGUCGGCCUGCGCGGAAGAUGUAACGGGGCUAAACCAUGCACCGAAGCUGCGGCAGCGAACGUAUCACUUAAAGCGAUUCAGCGGGUUACGAUUGACGGAGCGAAGCGACGUCAAAGCGUAUACAAAGUCGAGUCGGUUUAAGGAUACGUUCGUUGGGUAGGGGAGCGUUCUGUAAGCCUGUGAAGGUGGCCUGUGAGGGUUGCUGGAGGUAUCAGAAGUGCGAAUGCUGACAUAAGUAACGAUAAAGCGGGUGAAAAGCCCGCUCGCCGGAAGACCAAGGGUUCCUGUCCAACGUUAAUCGGGGCAGGGUGAGUCGACCCCUAAGGCGAGGCCGAAAGGCGUAGUCGAUGGGAAACGGGUUAAUAUUCCCGUACUUGGUGUU